AUUGAACGCUGGCGGCAGGCCUAACACAUGCAAGUCGAGCGAGCGGCGGACGGGUGAGUAAUGUCUGGGAAAAUGCCUGAUGGAGGGGGAUAACUACUGGAAACGGUAGCUAAUACCGCAUACCAUCAGAUGUUCCCAGAUGGGAUUAGCUAGUAGGUGGGGUGAAGGCUCACCUAGGCGACGCUCCCUAGCUGGUCUGAGGGGAUGACCAACGACACUGGAACUGAGACACGAGCCUGACUCCUGCGGUAGGCAGAAGUGGGGAAUAUUGCACAAGGGGCGCAGGCCUGAUGCAGCGAUGCCGCGUAUGUGAAGAAGGCCUUCGGGUUGUAAAGCACUUUCAGCGGGGAGGCGUUACCCGCAGAAGAAGCACCGGCUAACUCCGUGCCAGCAGCCGCGGUAAUAC
rnacentral:rRNA from 1 species